CUUUUCUUUAGUUGUACUUUUUUUUUUUUUUUUUCAUUUACACCAAUAUUAAAUAAGUGUUUUAGCAUAUUUACUGGUAUGCCAAAAGCACAAUUGUGGUGAGACCAGAGCUGUCUGCAUAUUUAAAGUAUCUGUAAUUAGGACUGGAUGAACUCCACCCCGAAACAGCCAUGAUGGGGUUAACAGUGAGCAGCUAUUUUCCCAGCUGUGGCCCAGUGCCAGAAUCACAACAGCUGGGACAAAAGGCUGCCGACCAGGCAAAAUGGGGUAAUUGCCAGAGAGGUUAGGAUUUACCUCAAGGAGACUCUUUAGCUACAGUUUAAUAGAGGAGUGCCUUGGGAAUGCUCUCAAAAAUGCCUUAGGAAGGAAUAAGAAGAGAUAUAUAAGCAAACGAAAUACUGCUGAGCAUAUAUUCACUAAAGGUUUUCUUCAGGGUCACUUUAAGACAACAAAGGGACACUAAUCACACCUGGAGAAGAGGACCUCACCUUUUAUGCAACUAUGCAUUUGUCCUUACUUGAAAGGACUGAAAAGGAUCCUGUCUCUGCUACCAGGGAGAGCCAUGUAGGAACAAGGUGGUGGGCAGAAGAAAAGACAUCAGGAAAAGAUGGUAAUGGUCAUAACAGGUGGCCAUUUUCUCUUCUGAAUCUGGAGAUUAAGUACACAAGCUUUGCUGUCGCUGUUGUAGAAUGGUAGGAGACCAUCAGUGGAGACUAUCAAGAAGGGAGGCAAUCACUGCCAUACUAGAACAUAAUGAGGUAAUAUCUCCGAUAACACAGUAGUAUUUUGGUGGACACUGCAGCAAGC
rnacentral:lncRNA from 1 species